AAUCGAAAAUAAAAAAAACUGCAGUGGCCUUGAUGAAUGGUCGAGAAGGAAGCAGAAUGCAUUAAUGUGCAUGGAUACGCAAUGUGUAAACGAUAACAACGUAAAGAAGAAGCAGAGAAUAACAACAAUAAGGCAAAAUAGGGACUACGCAACUCCUGCGAGAGUUGAUGGGGAGGGAACGGGACGAGUUUUGGGGGGUUGAAGCAAACAACGAAGCUGAAGAAGACAAAAAAAGAAAUGAAAAUUUCUUUUGGUUUGGCCAAAGAAGAGAUGGAUGAUGAUGUGAAACGAGGCCAAUUGGCAAAACGCCAAAUGGCAACGCAAAGCAGAGCAGAGGACAUAAAAGACACCACCAAGCAACCAAAACGAGCAGCGACGUAACGUCGCGACAUCGUAGUCACCGUCGUCGUUGCGGUCGCCUCUGUUAUCGUGUGUUAUACAUAUGUAUUUAUAAAAAAAAAAUACACAGGAUUUGUUUUAUUUUAUUUUCUUUUGUUGCAUAUUGCACUUGGUUACUUACCCCAUCAACCAAUCGACGGUGUCGCGCAAAUACUCCGGAAUACGCUCCAGUUUGACGGCUUCUGCUGCUGCGCUGCUUCUGUUGUUG